GGAACAGGGAGGAAGGACUCAGGAAGCCUUGUGUGCUCAGUCUAAACACCUGGCUACCCAGCAAAAAGCAGAGGAGGAAAAUGAGCUGCAGAAGGAUCAAAUGACCUGCCUGAGGUGCCCUAUCUGUUGGCACAGGCCAGAGCACAUGGUGGAUGCAGGGGCACCCCCUUCCCUUCUCCUCCCCUCCGGCUCUUUGCUGACAGGAUUCUCUCUUGCCUUCUCUGAUGGUACCUGUGCUACGUGCCACAUCCUUUCCCUCAAUGAAUUUCAGGCAGUGGAAGGGGCCGCAGAAGUUCCUUGACUCAUGAGGCGAGGCAUUCAGCGGCCUCGUGACACCUCCCAGGAUCUGCAGUCAUUGGGCUGCACUUGCCAAUAGCAACACCUGGCAAAAAUAGCUAAGAAGCAGAGCGGCCUGGGCUCAGGAGCUGAGCAACCCCUGACUGGCCAGAUGGAGACUGUGUUGAGCUCUGCCCAAGCCCUGUGAUCCUGGAAAACAGUGAAGUUAAGGAGCCAUCUGCAUUCUAGGGAAUGGCCCACUGCAAAAAAUAGCCUUCCUUAUAGGACGUAGAGGACUCAUGAUGUCCCCUCAUUUAUGAUGAGCCAACACACAGCCCUUCCAAAUUCCGAUUCUUUGCUUCAUAACUGAUGAGCUGUUUUGUUCCCACUGGUCAAUCGGAACAACAUUCUUGCUAACCAGAUUUUGGUUCAGCUCUUCUCCCUCCCCAUGUACCUGCCCUGUGUCCUGUCCUCAUCCUGAGCCAGCACACACCCCUCCUUAGUAGCUCCUCCUGCAGCAGGCUGACCUCGGACUCUCCCUGAUCCAUUGUCCAAAUAUAUCACCCUUUCACCCUACAUCCUCACACCCCAUUCUUUCUAGUUUUGUUCAUUCCUCCCUGUGAAAGAUGAACCCUCUUUGCCUAACCCCGGACCUGCUUGCAGACUGCUAUGAUGGCCAGAGUGUCCCCCCUACUGCAAGAGUCCCUUCUGUCCCUUGCAACAUCUUUUAAAUAAAAUCUCU
rnacentral:lncRNA from 10 species